AUACGUAUGUCGCAAGCGUUAUCCGGAUUUAUUGGGCGUAAAGCGCGUCUAGGCGGCUUAGUAAGUCUGAUGUGAAAAUGCGGGGCUCAACCCCGUAUUGCGUUGGAAACUGCUAAACUAGAGUACUGGAGAGGUAGGCGGAACUACAAGUGUAGAGGUGAAAUUCGUAGAUAUUUGUAGGAAUGCCGAUGGGGAAGCCAGCCUACUGGACAGAUACUGACGCUAAAGCGCGAAAGCGUGGGUAGCAAACAGGAUUAGAUACCCUGGUAGUCCACGCCGUAAACGAUGAUUACUAGGUGUUGGGGGUCGAACCUCAGCGCCCAAGCUAACGCGAUAAGUAAUCCGCCUGGGGAGUACGUACGCAAGUAUGAAACUCAAAGGAAUGGGCGGGG
rnacentral:rRNA from 1 species